rnacentral:rRNA from 1 species
UGGCCCUACGGGGCGCAGCAGUGAGGAAUAUUGGUCAAUGGGCGGGAGCCUGAACCAGCCAAGUCGCGUGAAGGAAGAAGGUACUUAGUAUUGUAAACUUCUUUUGUCGGGGAACAAAGGCGGAGACGCGUCUCCGGAUGAGUGUACCCGAAGAAAAAGCAUCGGCUAACUCCGUGCCAGCAGCCGCGGUAAUACGGAGGAUGCGAGCGUUAUCCGGAUUUAUUAGGUUUAAAGGGUGCGUAGGCGGUCCGUUAAGUCAGCGGUAAAAUUGCGGGGCUCAACCCCGUCGAGCCGUUGAAACUGGC